rnacentral:rRNA from 1 species
CAGUAGCCGCGGGAAUACGAGGGGGGCAAGCGUUGUUCGGAAUUAUUGGGCGUAAAGGGUGCAUAGGCGGUUUGGCAAGUUUGGUGUGAAAUCUUCGGGCUCAACUCGAAGUCUGCAUCGAAAACUGCCGGGCUUGAGUAUGGGAGAGGUGAGUGGAAUUUCCGGUGUAGCGGUGAAAUGCGUAGAUAUCGGAAGGAACACCUGUGGCGAAAGCGGCUCACUGGACCAUAACUGACGCUGAUGCACGAAAGCUAGGGGAGCAAACAGGAUUAGAUACCCGAGUAGUCCCUGUCUCUUAUAC